rnacentral:lncRNA from 1 species
GACCAAAAGUGAAGAUUGAAAACUUUAUAGGGAUUAAAAGUUGAAGGAAAAUUUUAGAGGGACUAAAACGAAAAAUUGACAUAUUUAUAGGGACCAAAAACAUAUUUAACCCUUCUUGGUUUGCAGAAUCCUAUAAUUGAUUGCAUGGCUUGCAGAGCACAAAAGUUGUUCUAUAAGUAUAGCCUGUCUGUUGAAACAAAAACACAAUUAACCUAAUUCACUUGUCAUAAACCCUAUUUUGUCUGAAACCCAAUUGCCACCCUCUCUCUAAGCGUUCAUUAAAUCAGCUGGCAUUGUGAGUGAAGGAGUUCUGUUAGUAUGGACAGAGUAAAGGCAUUUCUACUCUGCUUUUCUAGUGGUCAUCCUUACACGGAUUCCUCUCUACGCUUCAAAGAGGUAAGCACAUGAAUCUGAAAGUGAUUAAUGACUAAUGAUUUAAUCAAGAUAUGUUCAUCUGAUUUGUAACUAGAUUGAAGCUUUCAAAAGCCCUCUUAAAAUCCUAACACCUGCGAAACCUGAAAUCGUUGGUUGAUGGUGUUUAAUAGAUUUUGAAUAGGGUAUUUCCAUCAGUAUCAGCCUUCUUCUGUGGGUGAAGGGGUAAAGUGUACAUGCACACACUCUGACGGUCAAGUCAAUAAGUGUCAUAGAAUGAUAAGGUAUUUUAGGUGAAAGUUGAGCGUACUUUACACAAAGAUAAUGAGUUAGUAUUUAUAGUGUAGGUUUAGUUUUCGGUCCAUGAACCUUUACCUGAUAAGCUAUCAUCAAGGGACAAUUGUAGUCCUCGAGCGACAAUUGUGAGUAGAUUGUGAGGAGAUGGUAUUAGAUAUGGACUAGAUGGUACAUUAUUCUUUGAUUCUUUUAUCACAUACAAAUAUUUAUUAAUUUUAUAUUACUUAACAAUUUUAUAUGCUAAAAUUAGAAGUAGAAUAGGUAAUUUAUUCAAGAGACUAAUAAUUAUGUAACAUUGAUAAUUUUUAUUUUGUUCUUGUCAAAGAGAUUUAAAGGCUGGCGAAACAUUUAUUAAAGAAAAUACAAAGUCCAAGUUGCAAACAUGUCAUCUAUACUAUGUUGGCCUCCCAUGAUUAUGAUAUAACUUGUAGCACUAUAAAAUUAUUAUUAAUAAAUCACAGGAAAAUAAGAAUUACAAAUAUUGGGGACUAUACCAAAACCCAAUAAAAGUUAACCAAAUGAUUUCAGAAUGUCCCUUAUUAAAAAUAAUUCAAAAAAGGUAACAUAAACAUAAAUCAAAGUGCAUAUAAUAUUAUUAAAGUACGAACAUUAUGACAUAAAUAAAUUAUAUGUAACAUAUAAUUAUUUUGCAUGUUGAUAGUCACAUUGGCAUGCACUUGCAAAUUGAGUUAAUGCAUCGAGGUACUUCCCGUUCAAACCUACACGCAAGUAGUUGCCAAUUGUUAUUACAAUCAUUGUUAUCUUUGCAUGGAAUACGUU